rnacentral:rRNA from 1 species
CGCGUAGGCGGUUUGUUUAGUUAGGCGUGAAAUUCCUGGGCUUAACCUGGGGACUGCGCUUAAUACAGGCAGACUUGAGUUCAGAAGAGGGUCGUGGAAUUCCCAGUGUAGAGGUGAAAUUCGUAGAUAUUGGGAAGAACACCGGUGGCGAAGGCGGCGACCUGGUCCGAUACUGACGCUGAGGCGCGAAAGCGUGGGGAGCAAACA